GAGAGAGAGAGAGAGAGAGAAUAUCAACUUUACUGAUUUAAGCUAGAGAAGUUCUGGUUUGCAUGUUCUGUUCAAAGACUGCUUAGCGAUCUUAUUAGAGUUGGGGCAAGUAUUGUCCAAUAAGUGUGCCAAGUUUGGAUGUAAUAAGCAAAAAUUUGCAAUUGCAUUGUAUUUGGAUAGUUGGGUGCCUUAGUGCAUUGACAUUGAGGCUUUAUAUAGUUGUUUUAUAACCUCACCUUUUGUGGCCCUUUUAUAGAUUUUCUUUGAUUUGAACCGGGAUAUCAUAAUAGGAUGUGACUUCUUUCAUAGAUGUUCCUCCAUCAUAAGAAAUAUCAAGGUUGUUGCAGUGAUUUGUGCAAUGUUGAAAAUAUUGGUCUUUUCAUUAGGGAUGGUUGCGUACUUUGUAAUUUGGAGUCUCUUCUUUUAUGGAUUAUAAAUGUCAUGUGCAUUACAGAUUCUAUAGCCAUCAACUUGAUGCUUAUGGAGGAUGCUUUGAUACAGUUGUAUAAGAGAUCAUGCAGUAUCAUUAUUUAAGAAGUCUCCAGUAAAUGUGUUUCAGAAUGCAUUUCCUCCUCAUCUUGGUAUAUAUGUUUUCCCAAAUGCCUAAGGUGCUGCAUUGGUGGCAAAACCACUGCAUAAAAUUUUUUUAACAAUUGCAUGAUGUUCUUGGAACUCAUAGCACAAAUCUUACUCCAUUGGUGAAAAUACUUGCCAAUGCUGAGAUCAGCCAUACCGUCCUCCACUUGUCAAACUGGCAUCAUUUGAAGCAGUGCCAACAAUAUUUGUCUUGUCUUCACGCUUGUGGUAUUUUUCUUCUAUGAUAGGCUAGAUCACCAUUAAGGGAACAAGUUUAAUGGUUCAAAUAAUCUUUGUAAAUUCUGUCUUGUGCAUGAAUCUUAUUAGGCCCCAUGAUAUAUGUUUUAGCAUCUUUAUUUAUCAGAUAGAGAGAGAGAAGGUUAAUGUGUAAAAAAAGUGAUAAUGAAUUCUAAAUCAUUGGACAAGUGAAAGUCGGUCUCCUUGUCAAGGCUUACAAUUGUAGGGGUCCAAGUGAGACAAGUGUUCACCACUCUCUCAUUGAGAAGACAUAAUAAUGCCUGAAGAUUGAGACUGGUUUAUCCUCCAGAGUUCAUUUAAAGAUGUCAUAUCCUAAUUUAUAAGGUCAUUACUUCAAACUUCUAUUAAUGUAAUUGGCAUCUCUAUGAUCACUCUUUAUUUUACAAUAGUUUGACUCUGUUCUCUCUCUCCCCCCUCCCCCCAUCCCCCGCCCCCGCCCCCAACAAUUUGCUCCUUAUUUUGCCAACAAGCAUUUUAGCAUCAUCAUAUACCUUGCAGGCUGUAAAUUUAUCAUGUUUUUGGAGAUUUAUUCCAUGCACCUUUAUAUGUGAUUUCAUUCUGCUGUGUCAUCUUCCUUUAUAAGACUGUUCUAACUUCUUAAUAUCUGCUCCUGCUGUUGGCUUCCAGACUUGUCCCAUGUAUUCUCUUCUGUUAGCAGAGACCUGAAUUUCAUAGAUCACACUGGUGAUCUUGGGUGGAAAGAGUAGGCAACGUCCCCCCUUCUUGGUAAAUUUGGGUGUACUUGUAUUGUGCCGAAGUAAAGGCAAAUCUGAACCUUAUUGCCCUGACUUUUGAUGCAGAUCUCAAAGGUUCCAGCCUAUUGUUGUUGACCCUGGAAUUUACCUAGCAAGAAGGACCCAGAUUUUUUGGGCUACAGAGAAGCGGCCGACUCCUGAUGCUUUCAAAUUAUUCACAGGCUCCCCAUGGGUCAUCUUGAGCAGAUCAUUUCUUGAAUUUUGCAUUCUUGGUUGGGAUAACCUCCCACGAACUCUUCUCAUGUACUUCAACAAUGUGAUUUUACCUGAAGAGGGCUACUUCCACUCAGUCAUUUGCAAUGCACCAGAGUUUAAGAACACUACUGUAAACAGCGAUCUAAGAUAUAUGGUCUGGGACAAUCCUCCAAAGAUGGAACCUCAUUUUCUGAACGUCUCUGAUUAUGAUCAAAUGGUUCGAAGUGGAGCUGCUUUUGCAAGACAGUUCAAGGUGAAUGAUCCUGUACUGGAAAUGGUUGAUGAGAAGAUCCUAAAGCGUGGACAUAACCGGGCUGCUCCAGGGGCUUGGUGCACUGGCCGGAGGAGCUGGUGGAUUGAUCCUUGCUCUCAAUGGGGUGAUGUCAAUGUAGUUAAGCCUGGGCCUCGGGGGAAAAAAUUUGAAGAGACCAUCAAAAACCUUCUUGACGAGUUGAAUUCGCAGAUGAAUCAAUGCCAAUGAAAGUGCAUAUUGAAGGCUCGUUGUCAGAGGCAAGAUGCAAAAGUUUUCUGCAUCUGAAUUUUGUUGACGUAUUCGAAGGAUGACCAUAGCUAGAGAAUUGAUUCUUUGGUCUUUUAGGUCCAUUUUGUGGGUGAUUCUCCAAUCAUCGGCUAUGGAUGUUUAUAGGAGUGGCAGAGUUGAAGGGGAAACAAGUGAAUUCACUUGGGGUUUUUCGAUUGUAUCCUGUGAUGGGGGCUGGUAUUUAUUCAGAGCCACCUAUAUGCAGUUUCAAUCAACAAGAGGAUCACCCUGUUUGUGCUGCCAGUAGAGAAUACUGUUGUAUGUUAAUGUUCUGUUGUUUCACGUCCAAUGCUAUUCUUUUAAUUCUACUUUUGUGCUCAGUUGACCAUCUUAUGAUUUUCAUGCAGCAAAUCAUUGGCGUUCUUGAUGUUCAGGACACAUGAAUUCGUGUGAACACCUUGUUUCUUUUCAUAUUUGCAUACUUCAUAGUGAGUGGACCCUGCAAACUCAAUGACAAAUUGAAUCCUGUCUAAUGAAAUUCAUGUGAUGUGAG
rnacentral:misc_RNA from 1 species